rnacentral:rRNA from 1 species
UAGGGAAUCUUCGGCAAUGGGGGGAACCCUGACCGAGCAACGCCGCGUGAGUGAAGAAGGUUUUCGGAUCGUAAAGCUCUGUUGUUAAGGAAGAACGAGUGUGAGAAUGGAAAGUUCAUGCUGUGACGGUACUUAACCAGAAAGGGACGGCUAACUACGUGCCAGCAGCCGCGGUAAUACGUAGGUCCCGAGCGUUGUCCGGAUUGAUUGGGCGUAAAGCGAGCGCAGGCGGUUAGAAAAGUCUGAAGUGAAAGGCAGUGGCUCAACCAUUGUAGGCUUUGGAAACUGUUUAACUUGAGUGCAGAAGGGGAGAGUGGAAUUCCAUGUGUAGCGGUGAAAUGCGUAGAUAUAUGGAGGAACGCCGGUGGCGAAAGCGGCUCUCUGGUCUGUAACUGACGCUGAGGCUCGAAAGCGUGGGGAGCGAACAGG